rnacentral:rRNA from 1 species
UACGUAGGGACCGAGCGUUGUCCGGAUUCAUUGGGCGUAAAGAGCUCGUAGGCGGCCACUCAAGUCGAAUGUGAAACCUCGAGGCUUAACCUCGGGCCUGCAUUCGAUACUGGGCGGCUAGAGUCUGGUAGGGGGAUCUGGAAUUCCUGGUGUAGCGGUGGAAUGCGCAGAUAUCAGGAGGAACACCGGUGGCGAAGGCGGGAUCCUGGGCCAGUACUGACGCUGAGGGGCGAAAGCGUGGGGAGCGAACAGG